CCUACGGGUGGCAGCAGUGGGGAAUAUUGGACAAUGGGCGAAAGCCUGAUCCAGCCAUGCCGCGUGUGUGAAGAAGGCCUUCGGGUUGUAAAGCACUUUCAGUGGGGAAGAAAGCCUUGGGGCUAAUACCCUCGAGGAAGGACAUCACCCACAGAAGAAGCACCGGCUAACUCCGUGCCAGCAGCCGCGGUAAUACGGAGGGUGCGAGCGUUAAUCGGAAUUACUGGGCGUAAAGCGCGCGUAGGCGGUCUGAUAAGCCGGUUGUGAAAGCCCCGGGCUCAACCUGGGAACGGCAUCCGGAACUGUCAGGCUAGAGUGCAGGAGAGGAAGGUAGAAUUCCCGGUGUAGCGGUGAAAUGCGUAGAGAUCGGGAGGAAGACCAGUGGCGAAGGCGGCCUUCUGGACUGACACUGACGCUGAGGUGCGAAAGCGUGGGUAGCAAACAGGAUUAGAUACCCCGGUAGU
rnacentral:rRNA from 1 species